UCUGAAGCUCAACAUCAAAAAAACGAAGAUCAUGGCCACUGGUCCCAUCACCUCCUGGCAAAUAGAAGGGGAAGAAAUGGAGGCAGUGAGAGAUUUUACUUUCUUGGGCUCCAUGAUCACUGCAGAUGGUGACAGCAGUCACGAAAUUAAAAGACGCCUGCUCCUUGGGAGAAAGGCGAUGGCAAACCUAGACAGCAUCUUAAAAAGCAGAGACAUCACCUUGCCAACAAAGGU